GGCCUCAGCGAUGCCUUGCCCUCGCGGUGUCAGGGCUGCUCCCUAAGCUCGGGAGCAGCAACUACGGCCACAGCGACCGCAGGUCCCUCUCAGAUAAGGGGUGAGUGCCCAUCUGCUCUGUAGCCCCUGGGACCCAGCGUCGGGAAAGGAGUUGUUUUCAAUAGAGGCACACUCCUUUGAAGAGUGAAUUCUUUUGUUCUUCAUGCAACCAUGGAUCUGGAUAAACCAUCUGUCUGGGACUCAUUAAAACAGCGGACCAGACCAUUGCUAAUCAACUUGAGCAAGAAGAAGGUGAAAAAGAACCAGAACAAGCCCCUAGACUUAAGGGCAAGCAACCACCUGGACCGCAGGCUCAGCCUCUCUGUCCCUGACCUCCUGGAGGCUGAGGCUUUGGCUCCAGAAGGUCGGCCCUACUCGGGGCCCCAGUCGUCCUAUACCUCAGUGCCCAACAGCCUGUCCACUGCAGGAAUUAUUCCCAAGAGUAGCAGCAGCUCUCUGAAACAGUCUGAAGAAGAAUUGGACUGGAGCCAGGAAGAAGCAAGUCAUCUCCAUGUGGUAGAAACAGACUCAGAAGAGGUCUACUCCUCUCUUGCUGAGGAGCACCGGGCCUCUAGCCAGGGCAUCUUUGAGCUCCAGAAACCUCCCCUCAGAGUGGAUGCACCAGAAGAGCCUGAGAAGUUACGUGGCAAUGGUGAUCUGAAUGCUUCUUUGAUGUCUCAACAGUUUGAAGAACAAUCUACUCUUGGGGAGGCUGGUGAUGGCUUGAGUAACCUCCCGAGCCCUUUUGCAUACCUCCUCACCAUACACCUGAAGGAAGGACGCAACCUGGUUGUCCGAGAUCGCUGCGGCACAAGUGAUCCAUAUGUGAAAUUUAAGCUGAAUGGGAAGACGCUGUACAAAAGCAAGGUCAUAUAUAAGAACUUAAACCCAGUUUGGGAUGAGAUAGUUGUGUUGCCAAUACAAAGCCUUGAUCAAAAGCUGCGGGUGAAGGUAUAUGAUCGAGAUUUAACCACAUCUGAUUUCAUGGGUUCUGCAUUUAUCAUUCUCAGUGAUCUUGAACUUAACAGAACAACUGAGCAUAUUUUAAAAUUGGAAGAUCCAAACAGUUUAGAAGAUGACAUGGGAGUGAUUGUGUUGAAUUUGAACCUAGUAGUAAAACAGGGUGAUUUCAAGAGACAUCGGUGGUCAAAUCGGAAGCGGCUGAGUGCCAGCAAGUCCUCUUUGAUACGCAAUCUACGACUAUCAGAGUCAUUAAAAAAGAACCAACUCUGGAAUGGAAUUAUAAGUAUAACUUUGUUGGAAGGGAAGAAUGUCUCAGGAGGAAACAUGACGGAGAUGUUCGUCCAGUUAAAACUGGGAGAUCAGAGGUAUAAAAGCAAGACACUGUGUAAGAGUGCAAAUCCGCAGUGGCAGGAACAGUUUGACUUUCACUACUUCUCUGACAGGAUGGGCAUUUUGGACAUUGAAGUAUGGGGAAGAGACAGCAAAAAGCAUGAGGAACGACUGGGCACGUGUAAAGUGGAUAUCGCAGCACUCCCGCUAAAGCAAGCCAACUGCUUGGAGCUGCCGCUGGAGAGCUGCCUGGGGGCUCUCCUUAUGUUGAUCACACUUACACCCUGCGCGGGAGUCUCCAUCUCAGAUCUGUGUGUCUGCCCCUUUGAGGACCCCAGCGAAAGAAAGCAGAUUUCCCAGCGAUAUUGCUUACAGAACUCACUGAAAGAUAUGAAGGAUGUCGGAAUUUUACAAGUGAAGGUUUUGAAGGCAGUAGAUCUCCUAGCAGCAGAUUUCUCAGGGAAGAGUGAUCCUUUUUGCUUGUUGGAGGUCGGCAAUGACCGACUUCAGACACAUACCGUUUAUAAAAACCUCAACCCGGAGUGGAACAAAGUUUUUACAUUUCCCAUUAAAGAUAUCCAUGAUGUUUUGGAAGUGACAGUGUUUGAUGAAGAUGGAGAUAAACCCCCUGAUUUUCUUGGAAAAGUUGCGAUUCCCUUGCUGUCGAUUAAAGAUGGGCAACCAAAUUGUUAUGCACUGAAGAAUAAAGACUUAGAACAAGCUUUUAAAGGAGUUAUUUACUUAGAGAUGGACCUCAUAUAUAAUCCGGUCAAGGCAAGUAUUAGGACCUUUACUCCCAGAGAAAAGCGCUUUGUUGAAGAUAGUCGGAAGCUGUCCAAAAAGAUCUUAUCAAGGGAUGUAGACCGUGUGAAAAGACUCACUAUGACAAUAUGGAAUACAAUUCAGUUCCUUAAGAGCUGCUUCCAGUGGGAGUCCACGUUAAGAAGUACCAUAGCAUUUGUGGUAUUUUUGGUCACAGUCUGGAAUUUUGAACUGUACAUGAUCCCCCUGGCAUUAUUGUUACUCUUUGUCUACAAUUUCAUCAGACCCAUGAAAGGCAAAGUGAGCAGCAACCAGGACAGCCAGGAGAGCUCAGACGUAGAGGAAGAGGAGGAGGAGGAAGAGAGGGAAUCUGAAAAAAAGGGGUUAAUUGAGAGAAUCUACAUGGUACAGGAUAUUGUUUCCACUGUUCAAAACAUCUUGGAGGAAAUAGCUUCUUUUGGAGAAAGAAUUAAAAACACAUUUAACUGGACGGUCCCGUUUCUUUCAUUGCUGGCCUGUUUGAUUCUGGCCGUGGCCACCAUCACUUUGUACUUCAUUCCACUGCGCUAUAUCAUUUUAAUCUGGGGAAUAAAUAAAUUUACCAAGAAGCUUCGAAAUCCCUAUUCCAUUGACAAUAAUGAGCUACUAGACUUCCUCUCCAGGGUACCUUCUGAUGUUCAAAAGAUGGCAGGCAUUUUAUGGGAAGUAGGGAACAAGAGGAUUAUUCUUUUUAUUCUUGUUUGCCCUGAUUAUCUCCUGGGUCUCCCUCCUGUCCUCUCUCCUGUAAAGACUUCAGGAUGCUGAGGGCAAAUCCUGCAUUUACUCUGCUACAUGGAGAGGAGGAGACGGCAUGAGAUAAUUUGAGAUCAAUCACCAGUAUUAUUCACAGGUGCAGUACGCGGAAUUGAAACUCUGCGGCAGUGGCAGCCCCCUUCGGAAGAAGCGCAGCACUCUCUAAGAUAGAGACUUUGGACUCCAGCAUCCUAUGAUGUGCACUCGGUCAGGCCAAUGUCAGGGCUAUUUCAGUGGUCCUGUGGGGUCCUAAAAUGUAUGCCAUGUGGAACCCACUGUAUUCUCUCCUCUUCUUCACAUGCACAGACGCCAACACUCCUGUGUCCCCCUGCCACAUGGGGUGUUCUAUCAUUUGCAUAGAUGGCCAUCCCAGCAAAAGGAACCAGUUCUGAGAUUAUGAAGGACACAUCCAUUCUCAAAUAGGGAUUGAAGCAAGGCUCCCGUGGGUCUGAUUACCCUUCUUGAGAACAGCCAAGACACCACUCGGAUUUGAGAGUGAUGAACUGGUUUUCACACCUUCAACAGAUCAACCCUCCUUUCACAUCAUCAUUCAUGCAAAUUUCAUCUGAAUUCAGUCUAUGGUAACUAUCUAUCCAAUAAUGUAUAUUACAAAAAGAUUUUAUAAUAAUUAACAUAAUUAACCCAAAUCUUUAGUAUUCAUUCAGUGGUCACUACCACAAACAUAUAUAUAAAUUUUUGGUAAGCCCUUGGUGCUGGAUACCAGCCUACAUUACGGUCCAUUGCUGGCAAUGGAUGCCCCAGGAGGUCCCAAGGGACCACUCUUUGAAAGAUUGAGGGCUUCAUGAAAGUAUUUGACUGCCUUAAAAUGCCAUUUCUUCUGACUUAUUUCCAAAAUAAAAUGUUAAUAGGUAGUUUCUGAAAGGCAUGGAUUGGGUAAUGAAUAAAUGAAUUGAGUAUUUAGAAAGAUAAAGGUAUGAAGAGAGAGACUUUAUCAAUGAGGGUAUUACCUAAAUAUAAUCAUUUCAUUUUCUCAAAUGUUUUUGAACAGAAAGUUAAAAUUUCUUUGUCUGAAUUUAUCUUUGGUUCCCCUUCUGGUCAAAGUAAGCUAUAUGCUAUGAAAAUUUCAGAACCCUACUACUAGAAUGUACUACCCCAAUGUCCUCUUUUGAUGACAUUUGAUUCCUGCACACCCCACAAUUUCUCAGUAAUCACCUGAAAAAAUUCUUGAUUUUGUGCAUAUAUAAAAUAUAUACAAAUCUUUCUGUUCAAAUGAUAUUUAAAGUUUAAAGACUGCAUUUUGUUGACACAUACUUUGUAUGUGCAGUUUUAUAUAUGUGUAUGUACUGUAAAGAAAAGUUGAGGUAAAAAGACCUAAUUUAAUAGUGAGUUUACUAUGGUAUUUUUUUUUUGUUUCUGAGUUGUAAUUUAAUAAUGUUCAAACAAAAUGUUUAUGAAAAAUGCCAAAGACUCUAAACCUUAUCAUCUUGUGUCUGUUUUUCUUCAUAUUGUAUCUUCCUGGGUUUCUUUCUGGCUGAGCCAGAUUUCUGCAUGAUUUGAUUUACUUCAAGUUAAUGAAGCUGGCUGGAAAAGAGCCUUGCAGAAAUUAUAAAAGCCCCAGUAAAUCUCUUAGUUGUACAUACAAUAGAUACCCAAGAACUUCUUUUGUUAAACCAGUUACUCAAUCUUCUGUGUAAACAAUGCCUCAUUGUCUUGCUCCCAACUAUCAUACAGUUUAUCAUAGUCUGUCAUUUUGUAACGACCUAAGUCAGACAUUUUUAAGCAGACAUGUGAGAUCUGAUCAGUCAUUUGAAUGAAAACUUUCAGCAGCAAAACAACCCCUUAUUUAUUUAAAUGUAGAACCAAUACUUUAUUGUUGCUCUUUUGCUAUACAAUUUCAAAAUGAAACAAUUUUCCCUACAAGAAGACAUCAUUAGUUAGACAUAUUUCCUCUGUAGUCUAACUGGAAUUCUCAGCCAUAAGAUUAAGACACAAUCAGUAGCUGGGAUACAAGAUCAGGACCAAAUCAACCCUUAAUAAAUUGUAUAUGGAAAACAUUGUUAAUUGACUAUAUAGAUGCUGAGGGUUAAAAAUCGACGUGAGUUGUAAAUGAAAUGUUAAAAUUGAUGUAAGUACAGGAGUCCCCCGUUAUCCUUGGAGGAUGUCUUAAGACCCCCAGUGGGUGCAUGACAUCUCAGAUAAUAUCAAACCCUAUAAUUUAAUGCCUUCAAUAAGCACUUAUCACACCCUGAGGCCAUAAAUUUUACAGAUUGAUAUGUGACAGCAAAGCUAACAUGAAUUUUUUCUUCUAAAAUUUCAUGUAUAAAAGAUUUGUUUUAUCCCAGAUCUUAGCAACCUCAACAUAAGAUUUCUUUUUGUACUUAUUAAAUUGAAAACUUGAAUAUUUUCACUUAAAAGGAAGUACAUUCUGGCACAUCCAUUCCCAGCAUCAUUACUCUUGGGCUUUGGGGCCAGUAUUAAGGAUUACUUGAAUACAAGCACUGCAGUAUUUUGACAGUCUGAAACCUGAAAUGGCUACCAAGUGACUGAUAGCACAUAGGGUGUGGACACAUGGACAAAAGGAUGAUUCAAAUAUAGGCAGCCUGGACCACAAUGGCACAAGGUACUGUUACAUCAUUCAGAGUGGUUUGACAUUUGAACUUGUUUUGUUCUUUCCGAAGUUUUUUUUAUUGAAUUUUGAAACAGUUUACCAGGGUCAACUGAAACCACUGAAAGUGAAAUUAAGAGUAAGGAAGAACUAUCAGAAAUUUAGGAGCAAUUCUAGAAAGAGUGAGCAUGCCCACUCAAGUCUCUCUUCUGAAACCAGUAUUGCCAUCGGGGAGCCCCACCUUCCAUGCCUCAUCUCAUCCUUAUUACCUGCCCAGUCCCCAUCUCAAACCAUAUGAGGAUUAAGUUUCUAAUAAGUGGAUUCUGUGGGAUACACACACACACACACACAAAAAAAAAAAAACAAAAAAAAAAACUUACUGGCAUCUGCCAGAUUCUGUUAGAGGUCAGA